GAUGAACGCUGGCGGCGUGCCUAAUACAUGCAAGUCGAGCGAACAGACGAGGAGCUUGCUCCUCUGACGUUAGCGGCGGACGGGUGAGUAACACGUGGAUAACCUACCUAUAAGACUGGGAUAACUUCGGGAAACCGGAGCUAAUACCGGAUAAUAUAUUGAACCGCAUGGUUCAAUAGUGAAAGACGGUUUUGCUGUCACUUAUAGAUGGAUUCGCGCCGCAUUAGCUAGUUGGUAAGGUAACGGCUUACCAAGGCAACGAUGCGUAGCCGACCUGAGAGGGUGAUCAGCCACACUGGAACUGAGACACGGUCCAGACUCCUACGGGAGGCAGCAGUAGGGAAUCUUCCGCAAUGGGCGAAAGCCUGACGGAGCAACGCCGCGUGAGUGAUGAAGGUCUUCGGAUCGUAAAACUCUGUUAUUAGGGAAGAACAAAUGUGUAAGUAACUAUGCACGUCUUGACGGUACCUAAUCAGAAAGCCACGGCUAACUACGUG
rnacentral:rRNA from 1 species